CACGAAGGGGGCUAGCGUUGCCCGGAAUCACUGGGCGUACAGCGCACGUAGGCGGACUCUUAAGUCGGGGGUGAAAUCCUGGAGCUCAACUCCAGAACUGCCUUCGAUACUGAGAGUCUUCGAGUUCGGGAGAGGUGAGUGGAACUGCGAGUGUAGAGGUGAAAUUCGUAGAUAUUCGCAAGAACACCAGUGGCGAAGGCGGCUCACUGGCCCGAUACUGACGCUGAGGUGCGAAAGCGUGGGGAGCAAACAGG
rnacentral:rRNA from 1 species